ensembl:lncRNA
GUGCUGUAAGGAGCUAUUCACAGGGCUUGUCCCAGUGACAGCAGACACCCGAUACUCGCAGGCUGGGUCUUGUAAGCUCAUACUUUUUAUCAAGGAGAGGUGCAGGGAGAAUUUGCUGCUUCAAAGACUUUUCCCACAGCAACGGAGCUAUGAGCUCGUGCUGUUUGCAGCCAGACGCUGAUGCUCUGUGCAGUGAGAUGGAGGUGCCUGGAGGAGUGGCUGGGUGGCUGGAGAAGCUGCGUGAGGACAUCGAGUCUGAAGCUUUUUUCAUGUCAAGGAAUUGA